AAUCGAUGCCCGACCACGGGCCCGAGGGGCCCUUACCCGGCAGGUGGGCGGCCGCGGCUCACCACCCCCCGGCUGGUCCCCAGCCCGCGCCGAGUACCCCCGAGUGCCCUUCUCUCCGGGCGCGGGCAGGACGCAGGAGCAGGCGGAGUCGGUGAGGCCCGACGGCUUUAUUGGUUCAGGGCCCAGUCCCGUCCCCUCGCCCGCGGACGCCCGGGUCCGCGGCGCUCAGCGGCUGUCACGGGGGCGGCGCAGCUGCCCCAUCAUGUCGGCCAGCAUGCGGUUGCACAGCGCGGCGUAGGGGUUGAGCAGCACCAGCUGGCGCCGCGCGAAGGGGCUGCCCAGCCGUGCCGCCCUCUCGAAGUCCCUGCGGGCGUCGUCGUCUCGGCCCUGCAGCCGCGCCAGGAGUCCGCGCUGCACAAAGCUCUGGCGGGCGGCGCGGCCCCGGCCGCCGCUCAGCUCCACCGCGCGUUCCAGAUCCUCCAGGGCGCCUGCGGGACCGACGAGACGGGCGGGGCGGGGGUCAGCGGAGGCCAGGGCGGCCUUGCCCGAGCCCCAGCCCACCUGCGGCCGCGCGGAUCACCGUGGUUCUUGCGGCUCCCGGGCGUGGCCAUUUACAACCCGCCUCGCACCUGCUAGAGGUACGGAUCGUUAUUCCCAUUACACAGAUGAAGACUGUGGAAGAGUUAAGCUCUACAGCCAAGCCACUUAGUGGCAGAGCUGGGACUGAAGUCCAGGUCUCGCCUUGUUCCUAUUAUUUUCCACCGCUAAUACACGAAAACAUGAACGUUGCAGGAUUCUGAAUGGCCACUAUGUUUAUGAGUCUGGCCCACUGCCCGGGCAAGUAGCAGCCAAUUUAUUCCACACCUGUUAUUAAGCAUCCACUAUGUGCCAGGUGACUGACUCUGAAUGUCAGGGUUCAAAAAAUAAUAUUAACCGCACAAUCAUUUCUUACAAGUACAAUCAAGACAGUUUCUCAUUGUUUUCCUUUUGAGGGCCGUUUUCUCUUUUCCAUUGCUUUCUUUAGAACACCUUCUCUCUCCCCUGUAUCCUGGACUGAUUGCCUUUCAUCAUUCUUUGGUUAUCUCCAUGUAUCUAAUUUCCUUGGUCCUGGAGCCAGAGCUGGCCUGCACCAUUUUUAUUGUUAUUAUUCUCAUAAAAUACUUGGGUUGGGCCUCAGAACUCUGAACUCAGAACUUCAGGCAGCCAGCCACCUUCUUAAAGUCCACCAGGCUGGCUUCUUUCGGGCUCUGCUUCAAUUCACUCAUGUUCUCUAGUCCCCCAAAGAGCCUGAGCCUCCGGAGAAGCGCUCAGAAUGCAGUACUCCUUGGUUUCCCUCGGAGGAGCUGGUCUGGAGGAAUCUCCAGUUGGAAUCACCACUGCAUCUCUCUGGGGUUUUGGUCUGCAGGCUGUCUCCAGUGAUCUGGGGCAGAUAAGCCUGGAUAAGGGGCUCCUGGGAGGUUCCCAUUGUUCCUGGAGUGGACUCAAAACUCCCUAGCCUGGCAUUGCUGGUUCUGGGAGCACCUGUGUCACCACUGCUCCUAACAGUCAAGUAGUACUAGGUUUCCGUGGUUUAUACCUUCACAUUAGCCUCAUCUUUGGUCCCCAGCAUGGUCCCAUUGUCUUCACUUAAUUAGAAUAACCUGAAUGCAGCAGGAGUUUUGGACCUCUACAGACUGUACCUUCUCCACCCACCAACUAACUCCCACUCAUCCUUCAAAACUCGCCCUUCAGGAACAGGUCCCACGCUGACCCCUCUCGAACUUGUUUUGCUGGUCUCAGAAUUAUGUGUCUGCCCUGCCUCCUGGACUGGGAGCUUUUCGAGGAGCAGUAUCAUGUGGGGAUUAAGAGCACACACUCGAGCCCUACCACCUGGUUGACAUCCCAGCUCUGCUGCUGCCUGACUGUAUGAUAGUGGGCAAGUUACUUAGCCUCUUCAUGCUUCAGUUUCUUCAUCUAUAAACUGGGGAUAACAAUAGUACAUACUUUUUAGGGUUGUUGUGAGGAUUGAUUUACUAGUUUGUAUGUAAAGUGAUUAAUGCCUGGUACAUAGUGACUGCUAUAUAAAUGUUGGUGAUCCAUAUACCUUUUAUCUCAGUGUCCUCAGCACCAGCCUACUGCCACAUAGUAGGCUCUCAUUAACUGUUCCUUAAUCAAUGGAAUGCAGUCUCUUCUGAAUUUCACAUUAACCCCAUGAUAUUAGCAGGUCCCCUGAUACUACUCCUACCUUAUAGGUAAGAAGACAGGCUCCACAGGGGUUUAGCAAGGCCACCCCAGCCGCACAGCCACUUCAGUUCUGGUCUGUGCCCUCCCGUGGGCCCUUUUGCAGAGGAUACAGGGCAUCUCCCCUUACCUGCCACGUCUCCCUGGAGUCGCCGGGCCUGG
rnacentral:lncRNA from 1 species